GAUUGAUUCAAAGGUUAAGGAGGGAGAAGAGACAUCUGUCAUUCUAAUGGCAGAACAUAACCUUUCAUAUUCCUGUGGCGAUGCUUUAAUGAAAUUUAUCAAAGGGACUUUUCACUGACCUAAAAGCUGCCAAGAACACAAAAGCUUUCCCUGCUGAGCAGAUGCCACACAGCAUCCCUUUGGUCAGUCUGGGUUCUCUAUAUCCAGGCAAUGUCCCUUCCCAUCCACUUGCCCGCCCCCAGCAUAAUGGCCUUUUGGAGAUGGGAAUGGAAGACAAAGUUUUGACCACUGGGGUUGGAGGUGAAACCUUAUGGCAUGUCAUCUCGCUGAAUUGGUGUGCUCCUUCACACAAAAUGUCUUGCCAACCCCAGUGAGACCCAGCAGCCCCUAGCACUGUUUUUGGGUCUUGUGCCUAUCAAGUCUCUGGUCAGCACUGUCAGAGGAGCAGAAGAAGGAGAAUCUCCAUGUUGGUGGACUCUACGGUUGAGGAUUUGUUGCAGACUGGGAGACAUGCAUUCUGUUUGCAAGCUGACAAAGUCUGUUCUACAUUCUGCUCCCAGCUACGUGACCAGGACAAGGAGAAACCUGUCAUAUCAGCACGGAGGGGAACCUUUUCAUGAUACCGCUCAGCCCAAAUGGAUCUUUCCUCAGCUUGUCAAAGGCUGUGCCGAGAAACAAGGGUAACCGAGGACUGAAUUCAAAC
rnacentral:lncRNA from 7 species